CUAAGCUUGACAUCCCUUAGACCGCUCCUUAAUCGGAGCUUUCCCUUCGGGGACUAAGGUGACAGGUGGUGCAUGGUUGUCGUCAGCUCGUGUCGUGAGAUGUUGGGUUAAGUCCCGCAACGAGCGCAACCCUUGUCUUUAGUUGCCAUCAUUAAGUUGGGCACUCUAGAGAGACUGCCGAGGAUAACUCGGAGGAAGGUGGGGAUGACGUCAAAUCAUCAUGCCCCUUAUGUUUAGGGCUACACACGUGCUACAAUGGCUGGUACAGAGGGCUGCAAAACCGUGAGGUUAAGCCAAUCCCUUAAAGCCAGUCUCAGUUCGGAUUGUAGGCUGAAACUCGCCUACAUGAAGCUGGAGUUGCUAGUAAUCGCGGAUCAGAAUGCCGCGGUGAAUGCGUUCCC
rnacentral:rRNA from 1 species